CUAACUAUACUUUCAGAGAUCAUUUCUAUAGUAUUAGAAAAGUUUUUCUGAUCCUGUAGAGCACCCGAAGCCAUGAGGAGGAGCCAGAGCGUCCUCUCCUGAGCAUGAAGCCGGCUCUAGGUGUUGCUUCUGCUACUGCCUCUGGCCAUUGAUGAUCUCCUUCUCCCUUUCCUCUGGAGAGGGUAGAGGGAGAGGAUGCAGUCUGAGUGGU